UUGACUGUUACUCCCAGAAACGAGCACUGAAGCGUUAGCCUGUCAUCCGCUCAAAACUUCAACCACACUAAAGGAGGCACCUGGACUCAGAAGAUCGAAGCUCUGCUCAGUUUUCUCAAGUUGGAUAUUCUGGUAUUUCUGGUGCAUCUUGCAUAUGUAGAAGCAGCAAAAUUUGUCUUGGAGAACAGAGGCAUCAGCAUGGAGUGGGGACAGAUGGUGUUCGUUACGGAGACCAAACUACGGCUCGAUCUUCCCAGAGAGAGUGGGUCCUGCAAGAACAAGGGAAGAUAUCAGUUAAAUUGUCACAAAUAAGCCCCAAACUGUUGUGAAAGAGCAUCUGAUUUCCUAAAUUAAUCUGAAAGGGUUUUCCAAAGCUCACCUCUGCUGGAAGUUGUCCACCACUUCAGUUUUUAUGUCCUUCUGAAAAAUCUCAGCUGUUAAUCAAGAGCUGUGGUAACUCUUACAGAAGAUCACUUUGAAACUACACCUCAGCCAAGUACCAAAGAAAACUUCUUGACAAAUGUUGAUGCCUUUGGGUAGCUGACUGGGACUUCCCUACACCUUAAAACCCCAAUUUCUUGGGCUGUGUGAAUGAUUCCUUUCAAGGUGACAAUAACUUGCAGGUGCUGCCCCAGUUCUGGAACAGGCCAUGGCUGAAUGAGGGGUUGGCCCAUGGGGAAAACUUACAGUGGGCACCAUGAAGCUCUCUGAUUUACAGGAGAAAGAAAUAUUCCAGCAGUCCUUUUUUUGAUGUUUCAAGCCUCAGUGGGAUAUCCAGCCCUACUCAAGGAUGGGGUGUAAGUAUGUAAGUAUCACAGAAUAAAAGAUGCAGAGGUCUGAAGAGAGCUCUUCAGAAACACAACAGAAAACUCCAAGAAAUGUUCCAAAUGAGUGUAACUUUGAUAUUUAUAAUGGUUAGUUGCUACUGAGGUGUAAUCAGUGCUGACUCCUGGCGUCUUCUCUACAACUGAAAGUCUGACUCACCACACUCUCUAAACCUUCCAGUGAUUUAUCUGAAGUGUUUAUUAUCUGGCUCACAGAUGUGUAUCAAAGCACGGUUUACAAAGAAGAGCUCCAUGUGCAAAAAGGUUACAUUUUUAGCUUGUGUAAACUGUUGUUUCCCCACCAAAGGCAACAAAGUUGCCGUAUGAUAUCCCCCAGCAGAGGAUCUGCUCUCCAACCAACACUUGGUUAUUGUUCUUGGCUGUGUCCAUGAAUAUUUCAGAGUGUGCUGGAGCUGGGCUCUGAAUGCCUUCAUUCACAGACUGCUGUAUAAAUGAUCAAAGGAGAGGCUUCUUGAUCUUGUGUGUAAUAAAUCCUCUGCUUUCAGGUCUGCUGAACUGGAGACUAUCAUAGAAAUACUUGUUCCUCAGGUACAGAUCAGGAAGCUGGAGUCAAGUAUUCCUUCUGUUGGACAAAUGCCUCUGGAAUUCCACGAGUUGCUUGGCACAUCUGACAGAGAUGGCAGAAGGAUCUCAGCCUCCAUUUACAGUACAGUCUGCCUGCAUGGAGCAUGGCUUUGGAGACACUGCUCCCUGCUUUCGGUCAAGUGGUGGCAGGGGAGAAGGGGCAUCUACCUGAAUAUCUGAAAAAAAGCAAGUAGAAGGAAAAAUUUGAAAACAAGCAGUGUUGGGAUAAGCUUAGGUUCGGAUUUCAAAGCGUUUGUUGUAGAAACAUUCCCUAGAUUUUUAAUGAGGAUUUGUCUUAGCUUGCAACUCAUAUAGCUUUGUUUUGCAUCUUGAAGGUUUUUUACAAAGCAGUGGUAAAACAAGAAAAACUAAUGUGAAAGAGUUUAACAGAUUUUGAAAGAAAAGAAAGUUGUGGCUUCCCGGCUCCUGGACACCUCAUAUCUUUCUAUGCCUUGCCAUGAGUAAAUGACAUAGGAAGGAAAUAGUGGUCUAUCAUAACCCCUGUCCAUUUUUAGCUAAAAAAUUACCUGUGAUUACCUGUCUGAAUUGAAUUCAUUUUGUUUAUAAAAUGUAGAAGAGGGGUAGCUUGCUAACAGUGUUUUUUGUCUAGCUGGGACUUCAUCAGAAGUACCUAUGGCCACAAUUACAAAUUGUAAUUGUGAAUUUGAAAACCCUGUGGCUUUUUCCCUGUGGAGAGUGUAUACCUCAUUCCCAGUCAGAAUUCCUGUUGUCCGGAUUAAAGAGCGCAAACUGGACUUUUGGAGUUUUCCAGGGCUUAUCAUCCACGCCAUGCCUUCCUACAAUUAACUGACAUAACUAAUAAAAAACAAGUGCCAAAAUCUGGGAAAUCCACGACUGUAUUGCUCCGUGCAUCUAUGCUAACCUGUGUAUCACCUGUCUCUGUGCAGUUGUUCAAGAGGCUAAUGGAGAAUCCUGCCCUUUUGAAUGGGAAUUUUGCCAGCUGCAUUAACUGGGACAAGAUUAUUGACUGUCUGAGGCAAAGCUUAGAAGAUAAUUGUUGUGUUUAACUGUUAAUUCUCUAGCAUUAUCCCAGUAACUUGUUGAUGCAUCCAAGAGUUGCUUGAUGUCUAUAUAUACACACACCCACGCGUGUACACUUGCCUGCCUUUGGGAAUUCCCUAGCCCUUGCUAAUAUGGGUACAAAGAUUCACUGGGCUUUCUUAUUUGUAAACAGAACAUGUUUGGACUUAUGUCCUGAUAAAGGGACAUACUACAAACACGAUGUGAAGCUGCAUUUGUGUCUAUGUUCAUCUCAGAAGCUCAGCAGCUCAUCCUUGCACACUGACGGCCAUGGCUCAAGAUGCUGAAGAUGCAGAAAUCUUGGGAAAAAGUAACAUUGUACAUUGCUGCAGGGAUGUUUCACCCAUUUGGAGAGCUGUGCACAGCCCAUGACAUCCUUCAGUCAGCAGGAUCUCUGUGACCUGAGAAUUGGUACCUGCCACCCCAUGUGUCUCCUGCUGCGAGACAGGUCUAUGAAGUAAUGGAGCCUGGCUGUCUGCAGUCAGCACUGCUGUACUACAUCCAAAGCAAGCUUGCCAGUCAGCAAAUGCUGCAUUAAUCUUUCAGGGAGUGUUUGUUUUGCUCGUUUUGUUAGGCUGAGUUUCAAGCAACUGAUUAUAUGCUCAUGAGCAGUUCUCCUGUUGCAGCCCAUUUUUCAAAAAGAAGUGUGAAGGCCGAAGCUCCCAAGGUUGGGUGGAACAUGCGUUGGAAGGGUUAUAUACGGUCUUGCUUCAGUGUGUGAGCUCACAGUGCUUUUGAGUGCAUGUUAAUACAUCUGUGCAGGUACCUUUGGAACAGUGGAGUUGUGCCUCUUUGAAGUUUGAUGAGUGUUUUAAAAAUAUACGUUGGACUUGGUUCUUCUCUGUUAGUGCUAAUUCUGCUUGAGGAUUUAUCUCACUGCAAAUGAGAUGUGCUUGUGUUUGCUUAGCAGUAGUCAAACCUUCUGACUGCUGAAGGAGAAACUCUGAAGGCUUCUGAGGGUUAGAUAAGACAAACACUUUACUGGUCACAGAGUUUUAAGAAUUGAAAUGCCUGGAAUUUCUGGAGGUACAUGACAGUGUGCCUGGCUUGUUCCCAUGUGUCCCUGCAGUGUUGCUGCUCUGUCCAGCUGCGGCACUGAAGUUACAGCUCUCACUUAAAGGCCCAUCUUUCCAAGUGUUUUUGCAUUUAGCUCCUCUACGCAGAAAGGAAUUUAGAUACACUAAUAACUUUUAGGAUGUGGAAAAUUCAAGUCUGGAGACUCUUGUAUGUGCAAAACCUUUAAAUACAAGGCAGUCUCUGGACUUCUUUUUGUGGUUUUUAUUUUAAGACACUCUGUGCUCUUUGAUGACUUGCAAAAUGAAAUCUCGCAACAUUUCCACAAGUGAAGAGAAUUUUAGCUCCCAGAGUGAGAACAGAAGGAUGCACUGUGAUCUCAAGGUCUUUUAGCCUGCUUACACAGUCUGAAAGAAUGUGGCUGGGCAGUGAGCCUGUUACAAAAUGAUGAUUUUUAUGGUGUUGGAAUAAGACAAAUCCUGUGGAUAUUUCACGUGCACGUACUUCUCCUACAGACUUUUGCUGAGAAUCAAUGUUUUACAUUAAAUCUAUCCUACCAAGAGUACUCCAAAGGUAGU